CAGAGAGAGGACUCUCACGUUGCUGAUGUCUGGUUCAUGCCUUUCUUUCUCUCCUUUUUAAAUCCAAGCUGGGAUAAGAUGUGAUCUUUGUGGGCCAGUUUUAUUGAAGGGUCAGUGUUUUGUGCCAAAAAUACUGCCUACUUGGGGAGGUUGCUUGUGUAUGCUGUGUAGCCAAGGCUAGUUUUGAAAUGGUUUUAAACCAUUUUUUGAUUCCUUCAGCAGCUAAAAAGAGGGUAGAAUUUGGGGAAGUCGAUUUUAAAAAUUGUUCAAUUACAAUUCAGUUUCUGAAAAUCAUUUUGGGUUCUUCUUCUUUCUUCUUCUUCUUCAUUUGUUCCAAACUAUAUAAUGAUAACUAUCACAUAAAGAAGAGGAUGACCUAGGGAUGGGACAUAAAUGUGCUUUUGUAUUUGCUGUAAAUUGCACUUACAAUCAGAGUCAAUUCUACCUAAAGCAUCAGUAACAUGUUCUCCCACAUUCAUCCUUCAAAAAUGAAAUCUUGUGGGGCUGAAAAGAUUGCUCAGUAGUUAAGAGUACUGGCUGCUCUUCAGAGGACCCGUGUUCAAUUCCCAGCACCCACGUGGUAGUUCACAACUGCCUGUAACUCCAGUUCCAGGGUAUCUGGCACCCUCAUACAGACAUAUAUGCAAGCAAAACACCAAUGCUAAAAUAAGAAUAAAGCUUUAGUUUAUAUGCAUGUUGAUUUUCCUGCAGUUAAUUCAAAGUCAAAUCUGUCUGAGUUUUUGUAUGGCUGCAUGGUGUGUUCUGACUCGGUGGGCUUUGCUGCUAGUGGGCUUUGCUGCUAGUUGGCUUUGGAAGUGCGCCCCCAUGUUUGUUUCUAUUAUAAUAAGGUUGAUUUAGUAUGAAUGGUUUUAUACAGUGAAAAGGCAAAAGUGUUUAACACCAGAGAGCAUGGUUUAGUACGACUGCUUUAAACAUUCAUUGCUAGAACCUACCUGAAGCAAGUUUUGGUGUUUAGAAGGCGUGAAUGUCUGUGUCUGUUUUCCCCACUGACAAAGCUAGUGGGGAAAAACCUCUUCCGUAUAUUUUUCCUGCUGGGUGGUCAGAGGGAAAGGCCAGGAAGGCAAAGGCCUCCUAUUGAGACACUCCUCCGUCAGAGGCAUAAGAGGCGACCUCUCAUAGUGUUUCUGGGGCACCUGUUCCUCUCUACUCACUGUGGGUGUGAGACGUGAGCCGGCAGUGCUCUCCUGCAGGGAAGCUGCCACCUACAGCAUGGCCACUCACAGGGCCUCUAAAAUGCUCACAGACUGCUAUUCUUCGUGACUGGGAAGUGAUUUUGAUGCCAGUUAGGGACUAUACAGCAAGAUUGCUCUGCCUACUCCAUUAUGGCUAGGGCUUCCUCUGCAAGUGUUGAAGGCCAGUUGAUCUUGGAUGUUGGCUACAUUCCAAGGUGACAAAUGGUGUUGGACAUCUUUGCUCUGCUUAUGUAUGCAGAUAAAUUUUGUGGAGGAAGAACCAAGCAGAUGAGGCCUUAAAACAAGGAAGACCGAUGUUAGCAAUCACUGGUGCCUGGUUGUGGACUGGGCCACAACCUUGCAAGGAGCUUCCCCUCCUGGUAGUGCUGGAGUGACACCUCAUUGAACAUGGAUGUCUCAUGUUCAGCUCAGCACAGGUCUCAUCACUGUGCUGAGCUGAUUGAUGUCUUUGUGUAGCUGUGUUUGUAUUGUCAAUAAAGCAGGAGUUUCUUGCCUCUUCA